GAUGAAGAACGUAGUGAAAUGCGAUAAGUAGUGUGAAUUGCAGAAUUCAGUGAAUCAUCGAAUCUUUGAACGCACCUUGCGCCCUUUGGCCAUUCCGAAGGGCAUGCCUGUUUGAGUAUCAUGAACACCUCAACUCUUCAUGGUUUUCCAUGAUGAGCUUGGACUUUGGGGGUCUUGCUGGCCUGUGGGUCGGCUCCUCUCAAAUGAAUCAGCUUGCCGGUUUUUGGUGGGCAUCACAGGUGUGAUAACUAUCUACGCUUGUGGUUUUCCACCAGGGUAACCUUCAGCAGUAGAGGUUCACUGGAGCUUACAAAUGUCUCUCCUCUGUGAGGACAGCCCUUUGAAUGUUUGAUCUCAAAUCAGGUAGGACUACCCGCUGAACUUAAGCAUAUCAAUAAGCGGAGGA
rnacentral:misc_RNA from 1 species